UCCCACGGGGUCCCUCUGUGUCUCUAUGAGUCCCUAUGGGUUCCUAUGUAUCCCUAUGGGGUUCCUAUGGGGUUUGGGUCCCUGUGUGUCCCUAUUUGUCCCUAUGGGUUUCCUAUGGGACCCUGUGUGUCCCUAUGGGUUUCCUAUGGGUCCCUAUAGGGUUCCUAUGGGGUUUUGGGGUCCCUGUGUGUCCCUGUGUGUCCCUAUUUGUCCCUAUGGGUUUCCUAUGGGUCCCUAUAGGGUUCCUAUGGGGUUUUGGGGUCCCUGUGUGUCCCUGUGUGUCCCUAUGUGUCCCUAUGGGUUUCCUAUGGGUCCCUGUGUGUCCUUAUGGGUUCCUAUGGGUCCCUAUGUGUCCCUAUGUGUCCCUAUGUGUCCCUAUGGUCCCUAUGGGGUUCCUAUGGGUCCCUCUGUGUCCCUAUGUGUUCCUAUGGGUCCCUAUGUGUCCCUAUGGGUCCCUAUGGGUCCCUAUGUGUCCCUAUGGGUCCCUCUGUGUCCCUAUGUGUCCCUAUGGGUCCCUAUGUGUCCCUAUGUGUCCCUAUGGGUCCCUAUGGGUCUCUGUGUGUCCCUAUGGGUCUCUAUGUGUCCCUAUGUGUCCCUAUGGGUCCCUAUGUGUCCCUAUGGGUCUCUAUGUGUCCCUAUGGGUUCCUAUGGGGUUUUGGGGUCCCUGUGUGUCCCUA